rnacentral:rRNA from 1 species
GAUGAACGCUAGCGGGAGGCCUAACACAUGCAAGCCGAGCGGUAUUGUUUCUUCGGAAAUGAGAGAGCGGCGUACGGGUGCGGAACACGUGUGCAACCUGCCUUUAUCUGGGGGAUAGCCUUUCGAAAGGAAGAUUAAUACUCCAUAACAUAUUGAACGGCAUCGUUUGAUAUUGAAAGCUCCGGCGGAUAGAGAUGGGCACGCGCAAGAUUAGCUAGUUGGUGAGGUAACGGCUCACCAAGGCGAUGAUCUUUAGGGGGCCUGAGAGGGUGAUCCCCACACUGGUACUGAGACACGGACCAGACUCCUACGGGAGGCAGCAGUGAGGAAUAUUGGUCAAUGGGUGCAAGCCUGAACCAGCCAUCCCGCGUGAAGGACGACUGCCCUAUCGGGUUGUAAACUUCUUUUGUAUAGGGAUAAACCUACCUCGUGAGGGUAGCUGAAGGUACUAUACGAAUAAGCACCGGCUAACUCCGUGCCAGCAGCCGACGGUAAACUGUCUACG